rnacentral:rRNA from 1 species
UACGGAGGGUGCGAGCGUUGUCCGGAAUCAUUGGGCGUAAAGGGCGCGUAGGUGGCCUGGUCAGUUCGUGGUGAAAGCGCGGGGCUCAACUCCGCGUCGGCCAUGAAUACUGCUGGGCUUGAGCACUGUAGAGGCAGGCGGAAUUCCGGGUGUAGCGGUGGAAUGCGUAGAGAUCCGGAAGAACACCGGUGGCGAAGGCGGCCUGCUGGGCAGUAGCUGACACUGAGGCGCGACAGCGUGGGGAACAAACAGG